CAUUCAUGAAAUGGGAUCCUUUUUCGUUGCUAAUAUUUCUACAGAACGUGUCUGGAGGAAUAUGUAUAUAUACACACAUAUACAGAUACAUACAGAUGUGAGAGUAGAGGUGAUUUUUCUUCUUUGGACUUUGUAAAACUUGUUGAAAUGACCAUCUGUAACUCUUAGAAGAUGAAUAAUUCAGAAUAUCAAUAUGAACACAGAUUUCUACAAUUGAAGACGGAAAAUGGUAAGAGCUACAUGAGAUCUAAAAUGCUAUGGGAUCUCAAAGGCAGAGUUUUGGGGCUGAUGAUCGGGGCUGACUUCUCAGCUGAAGGCAUGACGAUGGCACGCUUUCUCAGCGCCUAGUCCCCAGAGUCUGUGUAAAAUGGGGCCCCAGGAACCUGUCCUCAUAACCAGUAUUUCAGGUGGUUUUCGUGCACUCCCCAGCUUGAGAACUCACGAGUCAGGGGCUUUGAGGCACUCCUGGGGCAGCUGGCAGAACACUCCCAGCACACACCCCCCCCACCCCUAGCCUGGGCUGUGUUCUCAACCCUGAUGCACAUAGGAAACAUCUGGAGAGCUUUCAUCUCUGAAGUCUGAGCCCCUCCUGAGCUCAGACCAAUUAAAUCAGAAACUUUUAGGGGGCGGGAAGAAUGUUGAUUAUUUCUCAAACCUGCCCAGAAGAUUCUGAUGUGCAGUAAGAUUGAGAGCUGCUGCUCUGAGGCUCUCCCUGGACAGGAAGCUCACCUGUUUCUCGGGAAUGCCCUCCCAAGUUAGGGUAAAGCGGUGUGCAUGGCAGGCGUUCCCCUCUGACCUGUGCUGUGUGCACUGUCCCGGGACCUGGGGUUCAGGUGCUGGCUCAGAACAGACACGGGCCAUACCAGUCACCCUGAUAUACCAAGAACCUAGUACAAAAAGUGGUGCUUCUGGAGUUCCCAUUGUGGCUCAGCAGUAACGAAUCUGACUAGUAUCCAUAAGGACGCAGGUUCAAUUCCUAGUCUUCCUCAGUAGGUUAAGGAUCCUAUGUUGCUGUGGCAUAGGCCAGCAGCUGCAGCUCCUAUUCGACUCCUAGCCUAGAAACUUCCGUAUUCCACACCUGAGGCCCUAAAAAGCGAAAAAAAGAAAAAAAGAAAGAAAGAAAAGAAAAAGUGGUGCUUCUGUUGUUAGUGAUAAUAGUUGCUAAUAUCUAUUGUGCAUUUACCAUGGGGCGGAUAGAUACAGAUAUUAAUUCCUUUAAUCUUCACAGCAAUGUUAAGAGGUGGAUAAUAUUAUCGCCCCUGUUUUUAAGAGGAAACUGGGGUGCUGAGGAGUAACUUGUCCAGGGUUUGAGAGGUAGGAUUCCAGUGGGACCAAGAUAUAAACCCAAGCCAUCAGACUCAGAGCUCUCACUCUUUAAUGAUCACUCCUUUACACAAAAUAAAUGCCUGCUGCAAAAUGAAUUUGUAGGUGAGUGAAGGAUACUUAGAUUAUGUCAUCAACUUGGUUGCCCCAGAGCUUGACAUACAUAGGUGCUCUGUCAAUGCUGAAUAAUAAAUGCUCCGAUUUGGUAGGGCCCUGGAACAAUGAGAAACCAAGACCAGCCCCUCCUUCACUCUUUCUCCCUCUCCCCCACCCCAGCCCAACUUCUCUGCAGCAAUAAACAGCGAAGCCAAAAAUAGCCAUCUAAUGACGUUAGAGGAGCAAGGUCAUCUGAAAAUUGCCCAUGGCCACUGGACACCUCCCUAUAGGAUCAAGUAGCAGGAGGGUACCCCAGGCUGGUGCAGCUGUUCCAAGAACAGGAAACAGCCCAGGAGCAGACUUGGAAGCACCACCUCAUGAUGGCAGGGCCCUCGUGAAGGGGGCAGGGGACAAGUGCCAACACUCAAAGGAGAAGCAAGGCCCAAAUGUGAGUGCAGACCCUGUAGAAGAGAACUGGACUUUGUCUGCACUGGAAGUCACCCCCGUCACACGAUCCCAGGAAAUGGCUCAAAAAGCGGGGAAUGCAUGUUCUGUCCUGGUGCACCUGACGGCUUCCUGGCCCCCCACUAUGCUAUUUAUAACGCCGCGGGGGCUGGGGGCGUCUGCUGAACUGGGUUACCAUACAAGCUGGGGUGCAUGGCACGUUCUGAGAGGCUGCCGGGAGAAGAGGGCCCCGCCUGGGAUGGCGAGGGGGCGUCCAAAUAAAGGAUGAGGAGUGGGCCGGGGCAAAGCCCCUCUGGCUGCAGUCCCCUGGCACUCUGACCACCUUGGCUUUCAUCCAGGCCUGCCGAGGCUUGUGACCUGACGGGCAGCUGCCGUAUCCCUGACAAGAACGCAAGCAUCCGGCACGGUCCGAGGAGAUGCCUGCUGGGUGAAACUAGAGAGAGAACCUGCUCUGAGCAUCUGGGGAGCAUAGCUGGAGCUUCCCACAGCAACGUCAAGAAUUCUGUGAGGACUCCAGCCCAAACUUGCUCCGAGGUCCUGAGCUGCUGGCCCUGGCGAGUGACAGAAACAAUCUCUUCUUCAUCCAAGGGGCCCUGUGAUCAAGUGUCAAUUAUCUUAUCUUCCAGGAGUUCCUGAGAAUGCCCAUCCCCUCAAGGGCUGCAACUGGUGCGGUGCAGAGGGCCCUUGAGGGCACAGACCUGGGUCCAAAUUCUUUUAUUUUCUUGGUCUUUUUGUCUUUUUAGGGGCGCACCUUUGGCAUAUGGAGGUUCCCAGGCUACGGGUCUAAUCGGAGCUGUAGCUGCUGGGCUAUGCUGGGUCCAAAUUCUGACUGCCAUUUACCAGCAGUGCGACUUUGGGAAAGUAACUUAAACUCUGAGCCUCAGUUUCCUCCUCCGCCAUAUGACUUGUUGGAAGGACCUAUGGAAAAGCAUUCUUCCUUCGGUCUUUAUUCUGGUAAUGGAGUCUUGGCUAAGGGGAUAAACACCUACUCAACCAACUCAGCAGCUCUCCCGGGUAACAUGAACGGGCUGCACAAAUAUGAUGCCAGGGAGCUUGGAGGGGAGGUGUGUUUUCUCCUCCACACGGGCUCUGUUUUGCCCUGGGUGCUGAGGCUCACACAAGAGAAUGGCUGCUGGCUCCCUGGUCCCUAGAGACCUUUUGAGUUGGGAGACCUGUUGUCCAUCCAAAUAAUGUGCAACGAAGAGUCAGGGAGCCUACAGUGUAGACAUCCACCUCCAACCAAUAAGAACGCGAUUUCUGUAAGGUCAGCUCAAAUCCCUCACCUCUCUGCUUGCACAAACUCCCACGGAGUCUCCUUCCUGAGGAGUGCCUCUGCUCCUCUCGCUGGCUGCUGACUCUAGCAGCUGCUGGCCCUGUCCUGUCAGGCUGUUGGCUUUGUGAGUAAACAGCAGGGGCUUCUGGCAACCCCUGGUGACACACACCCACUGACAAUUAAUAUUGAAUAUGUGACUCAAGCAGGGCCACACUGAGUCACACUGUCCAAUAGGGAUGAAUAAGUGCCCAUUGUGCUCCCAGAGUGCUCUGGGGCCAUGUUAAAGCUAGGAGCAAAUUCUCAUCCAUGGAACUGGAGGAAUGGUCCUUUCCAGAAACAUUGUUUUAAUUUCUACCAGGAAGACACUGAGACCCAGAAAAUGUGACAUGUGCAAGGACAUAAAACCAGAAGCCACUCUCCCAAUCUAGGGUUCAAGCCACUAAUUUUUGUGCACCUUCAGAACAAAAAGAGUCUAAGUCCCUUUGACCAUAAACAUCACAAAAACUGAGUUGCAGCGGAGAGAAACAGAAGAGCAGUAAGACGAGGGGAGACGUCCUUAAACUGCCUCUAGCAGCUGAAGAACCCGCUAUUAGCAACCUCACAUCGUGGAAAAGCCAAGGAUGGGAGGGACUUCCUUGCUGGAGUCUGUCAGAAUUCAUUGAGCAUUCUGUACAGUCUUUAACUGGUUCCAAGGUCAAGAGAAACAUCAGAAAAUAUGUGUGUGUGUCAGAGGACAUUAUUCAGGGAUUAGUCCCCUGGAGUGAUGUGGGCUAGAUUUCCUCUUCCAGAACAACCCUUGGAAAGUCCUCAAGAGCUAGCACUCUGGUCUCCAGCAUAACUUCAUUUAAGUUGAAAUAGAAAUCUAGCCUGCUAGGGGUGCCCUCUUGCAGUGACGGAGCAGCUGACUAUAGAAAAAUAUAAAUGUCAAACUAGGACGAAUGUGGUUAGGACGAAUGUGGUUAGAACAAAUUGUCGGGGGAAAAAAGCUGAAAACAUUCCAGCUGAAAGAGCCUUAUUUAUUUUUCUCAUUCAGUCACCUCUUUGACGAUAUGGAAACUGAGGUCCAGAAAAAGGGAGUGCCUUGUUAAAGGUCAGCCGGUGUGCCAGUGCCAGGAGGUGGAUUAUAUUCCCUGCCUCUACUCUUCCCAAGACACACCGCAGCCCAGCUAGAGUUAAGAAAGACAAAGGGCGUUUCCUUUCAAAUCUGAUCUCCAGGCUCUGAGACAGCCACCCCCCGUGUACGUCUGUCUUAAGAUGUAGAAUUCCAAGACUUUAAAACGACAUACCUAGAAUUCUCUCCAGAAAGGCUUUGCUAAAUGCCGGUGAACUCUUCUGCUGGGCACCAGUGCCAGUUACACUGACAUCAGGUCGGCCAAAGAGAGCUUUCCAGUGUGCAAGUGUGUAUGCCAGAAUGUCGUCAUUGACUAUGCUUUUGGGAGGGACUUACAUUUUAAUAAUUUAAUUGAAUUACAAAGAUUGACUAAGUGGUUUGAAACAGCCAUUUAAAGUUUAGAGACAGACAUAAUACAUUAGGGGGACAAAGAAAUCUGUCCUAUAAAUAGCCUAGAAAAAUCUUUUGCGAAACAAACCUUUUCAAUGGGGAGAAGCAAACUCAGAACACAGGAACAAUAUGCUGCUGUUAGAAUUGGUAUUUUCAGAGUAUGCAACAAUACGGGAAAAAUAUUUGCAUUAAUACUAUGCAAAAUGAAAAAAAGGAAUACUUUGUAUGUCAGAAAAACUCUACACUGUAGAAAAACACACUAAAGUUUUAGGGAGUAUGUCAGCGUAAGGCCACUGACUUUUCAUCGCUCCUCGCCACUAAGCGUAACAAUGCUGCCCCAAACUGCUUUUCCUAUUGUAUUUUACAACUACUCAUUGUUUAGUAUUUGACCCACUGAAAACUACAUCUCCCACCCUUGCUCCUGAAAGGAGUCCUGAGAAUAUCACUGGUACCAAAAUAAGGUAGGCAACAAUUUUUAGCCCAUUCAUACACCUGCCUGUGAGGUUCUGGGAUACCAGUCUCAAACGACAUGGGUUUAGGCAGAUCAGACAGGCCAAGUUUUUAUUUCCUUUCUGUGUCAUAAAAUUUUAAGAAAAGAAGAGAAGGCAAUUGAUGCUUUAGGGCUAGGCAGUCUGGUGAAAUAAUUCUUGACAAAACCUAGUAUUUUCCUAAGCCCCUGCAACAAUAGUUUCUCGGAGUAAAAUGUCAGCAUUUGUCAAGCCCUUUCAGGAAGCUGCUGAUAACCUUCAGUGCUUAAGAGUCAUGCUUUGACGUGAGCCCAGCCUCUUAUUCUCUUGCAAGAAAGAGAAGUGCAAAUACGAUGAGGUAUUUCUGGUUUUGACAUCCGUAACCUUUGCUACAGAAAGUAGAGUGGGUAUGCAGGAAUACAAAAAACAAGGAAAAAGUGUUUGUCCCCAGGCUUCUUUUUUAUAGCAACUACACUGGCUUUAGCUGGAUAACAAAUUGUCCUGGAAUUCUUGGCAUUGGAGCAAACAUGUCAGCUCCGUGGUUACGCCUUCGUCACUGCUCAAAGUACUGCACACUUUAACCUUCCUGCUCUUUCCAUAGGCCUGGGUUUGUCCCAUACCCAGGAAACUUUAUAUGUUGUCUAAACUGAGCAUCCCAGCAGGCUGCAAGGCAGAUGGCAGCUCAGGAUUCAGAAUGUUGACCGACUCCUACCUGGAUCCACACCACCAAGCUAUAACUCAGCCUGGCUGUGCAGAAAUAGGAGCCCGGCCACGUGGCUGACAGCUUUUUUAACUGCUACUCUCAGCAAUGAGGAACUUCUCCAGCAGUCAAGAUUCAGAAAGGAACUGAAAAGGAAGCAUGUCAAGAGCUACCGAAGGGGAUAUACAGGUCCGACCGGAUACUCAAGCCAAUAAGCCCCCAAGGCUCAGCUAAGCCAGGGGGAGCUAAAAGACUGGGUAUUGCCAAGCUGCCCUCAAGCCCUUGGGACCUCAGGUCAUUAGCCCAGGACAUCACACAGAGGAACUGGACAUCACUACUGGACAUCUGCCUUCAGGUCACUAGAUUCUCAUAAGAAGCUUCAUACUUCAGCCAGGCAGAAAGCUAGUACACACCUGAGGUAGCACCUGAACCACAUCAUUCAAUGCAGAACAUAUGAAAGAGCAAGGAACAGAGUAUAAAUUAUGACAUUAUUUAUGGAAAAACAAAAGGGAGCAGGUGAAGUCAUCUCUGCAAGGGAACAUACUUGGCAGCACUAUCUGGGGUGGGAACUGAACUUGUAGCUUUUGAAUUUUGAAUGAAGUGCGACACUUACAGAACAAAUUAACAUUAAAGGAAAUGCAUAAUACUACAAUCUCAUUGCUAUAAAAAAAAGGAAAACGCUGGAGUUCCCAUCGUGGCGCAGUGGUUAACAAAUCCAACUGGGAACCACGAGGUUGCUGGUUCGAUCCCUGGCCUUGCUCAGUGGGCCGAGGAUCCGGCAUUGCCGUGAACUGUGGUGUAGGUUGCAGAAACGGAGUUCCCUGGUAGCUUAGUGUUGUUGCUGCUGUGGCAUAGGUUCAAUCCCUGGCCUAGGAACUUCUGCAUGCUGCAAGCAUGUCCCCCGCCCCAAAGGAACUGCAAUCUCACCUCCAAGAAUCUCUAAACUCCUGAAGCGUUUUAUCUGUCUGUCUCACAUUACUCAAUUACAUCGUAUCUCGUGUUACAAUUGUGUAAGUCUAGACUUACCUCUAUUCAAUGCUGGAGCAACUGCCACUGCAGCCUGUCUACUACUCAAGCUCUACUUUCUAAGGACAAAAUUCUAUGGAAAAGAACUGGUAAGGAAUAAAACAGCAGUCAAGAUGGCAACAAAGCAAUUACAUAAGAACAAAAUGAUCAAAGUAAAAGUGAACGAUGACCUUGUAUUAAUUAAUCAGCACAAGACUAUUAGUAAUGGGAAACUAUAACAAGUUAAAACACCAAGGCGUUCCCGUUGUGGCGCAGCAGAAACGAAUCCGACUAGGAACCAUGAGGUUGCAGGUUCGAUCCCUGGCCUCGAUCAGUGGGUUGAGGACCUGGUGUUGCUGUGAGCUGUGGUGUAGGUCGCAGACGCGGCUCGGAUCUGGUGUUGCUGUGGCUCUGGCGUAGGCUGGCGGCUACAGCUCCAAUUUGACCCCUAGCCUGGGAACCUCCAUAUGUCGUGGGUGUGGCUCUAAAAAGCAAAAAAACAAAAACAAAAACAACCCAACACUAAAAACACAGUCCUUCUCAGGUAUUGCAGAAAUUCCAACAAUCUGCAUGUCUGCAGGUGCUAGGAGCUCUGCAACUUGCCAAACAAAGUGUGGCAGCCCGAUUUCUCAGAACUCAGUAAAUUCCUAUUGGAGGGCAUGUUCUUUGUUUAGGAAAAUUCUGGGGUAGCCUCUGACAAUUGAAAGAGAAGCUCCCUCCUGGACAAGGCCUGAAGGGAUAAAGAACUUGAAUUUCUCUGCAAAAGAAAAGCAAAGAUUGAGUUUCAGGAGAAAUGGGAGGCUGUACUAGAAAAAUGAAGGUCAUGUGAAGUGGUGUAGAAAGAAAGAACUGACUAGACAGGUUGUACUGAGAGGUAGACAGCCACUGGGAAACUGAGAGACAUUCUGGGAAGUAAGAGACAAUGGAUGUCUGCAUCUCCAUUUUAAAAGCUAUUUGGUCUAAAGUAACACACUCUCUCUUGCCUCUCAGAGACCACCACGCGUUACCACCCUGACGUGGGUGUGUCUUUAGGCAGUAAUCCAGAAUGGAGCAAAUGGAGUGGACGGACUCCAUAGGUCCAUAAUUCUCAGUACCACUCUUCUAAAAGCCCCAACUUGAGGGCCAGAUUUAUUCUUCUGCUUGAAACCACCAAAACUAAAAAUGGACAAACUAUAUGAAAAAAUGGUCCCAGGUGGUAAUAUAUGAGUAAGAGUCAAUUAGUUAGAGAACUGCUGAUACAUGGGCGGGAGAAAAGGACAGACACAGAGAGGGGAUCAAGAGAUGGAGAAGUAGAAAAACCAAAGCAAGAGGUAACCAGGAAAAAAGUAGGAAAUUAUCAUCCUUACCUGAUGAGGUCAAAUGGUCAAGGAAAGAUUUAUGAAAAAGAUGAUACCAAAGCUUAUUUUUUUUGUUUUUGGCCACACCUGCGGCAUGUGAAUGUUCCUAGGACGGGGACUGAACCUGCACCAUGGCAGCAACCCAAACCACUGCAGUGACAGUGCUGGAUCCUUAACCUGUUUCGUCACAAGAGAACUCCCAGAGCUGAGUCUUAUAUGGAAGAGUUUACCAGAUGAGAAAAAAACACACUUUGAAGGCAUAACAGACCUCCAGAGUGGUUCCUAGGAGGGAGUUAACAACAUAGGGAAGGAUAUUCUGACAUAAGACCCAAAAAAAAAGUCACAAAGCACUUUCCUUUAAGGAUAGAGGCUAUGCUUUUAAAAGUCCCUAGCUCCGGAGUUCCCGUCGUGGCGCAGUGGUUGGCGAAUCUGACUAGGAACCAUGAGGUUGCGGGUUCGGUCCCUGCCCUUACUCAGUGGGUUAACGAUCCGGCGUUGCCGUGAGCUGUGGUAUAGGUUGCAGACGCGGCUCGGAUCCCGCAUUGCUGUGGCUCAGGUGUAGGCCGGUGGCUACAGCUCCGAUUCGACCCCUAGCCUGGGAACCUCCAUGUGCCGCGGGAGCGGCCCAAAGAAAUAGC
rnacentral:lncRNA from 1 species